AUCAAGGUGUGAAAAUAUCAGGCUUGUCAGAAGGUGGAAGGAACUGAAAUGGAUGUGAAGUCUGUUGCUUGAUCGGGCUGAUGAUGUUGGCAGGUCAGAGAGAAGUUUAAAAAGAAACUUGAGGGAAAAGGAGGAAGCUUCAGGGACGGCCAGCAAUGUACCCACAGAAGAGUGAAGCGACGGCUCCGUGCCCUUACGCCUGAGCGGUGCCUCCCAGCUGAUCUCCAUCUCCUGGAGGUGCUGCGGGUUCCACGGAUCGCUGGAUUGCGCCAUCUCUGGGCCAUCGGAGAGCUGCACAGUGCAGAGACCAGGUACUCACCUGUGCCUCCCCAGGAUGACCCAGCACUAAGACCAACCUUCGACCAGUUCUUCUCUCGCAGUGUGGUGGUCAGGAGCCCAGCAACUGGGGCCCCGGGGGUCAGGACACCUCUCUCCGCAGAAAGAACUGCAGCCCUAGCCGGAACAGGACGCUACCCAAGGAGCACCGUGGUGGCGACCCAG